AGCAGCCGCGGUAAUUCCAGCUCCAAUAGCGUAUAUUAAAGUUGUUGCAGUUAAAACGCUCGUAGUUGAAUUUCGGAGUUUGUCGGUUGGUCGGGCUUCACUGUCCGCACUGGCCUGAUAGAUUCCUACCUUCUGAAUAACCAACAUGCUAUUAAUUUAGUGCGUUGGGGAAGCAGAGCUAUUACCUUGAAAAAAUUAGAGUGCUUAAAGCAGGCUUAUGCUUGAAUAGAUUAGCAUGGAAUAAUAAAAUAGGACGGCUUGGUUCUAUUUUGUUGGUUUCUAGGAUCACCGUAAUGAUUAAUAGGGAUAGUUGGGGGCAUUAGUAUUCAAUUGUCAGAGGUGAAAUUCUUGGAUUUAUUGAAGACUAACUUCUGCGAAAGCAUUUGCCAAGGAUGUUUUCAUUAAUCAAGAACGAAAGUUAGGGGAUCGAAGACGAUCAGAUACCGUCGUAGUCUUAACCAUAAACUAUGCCGACUAGGGAUCGGACGAUGUUAAUUUUUUAAUGACUCG
rnacentral:rRNA from 1 species